GGAAGUAUAGCUCAAGGGUAGAGUUUGUACUUAGCAUGCACGGGGCCCUGGGUUCAACCCCAGUACAGCCA
rnacentral:tRNA from 1 species